UACGUAGGGCGCAAGCGUUGUCCGGAAUUAUUGGGCGUAAAGAGCUCGUAGGCGGCUUGUCACGUCGGAUGUGAAAGCCCGAGGCUUAACCUCGGGUCUGCAUUCGAUACGGGCUAGCUAGAGUGUGGUAGGGGAGAUCGGAAUUCCUGGUGUAGCGGUGAAAUGCGCAGAUAUCAGGAGGAACACCGGUGGCGAAGGCGGAUCUCUGGGCCGAUACUGACGCUGAGGAGCGAAAGCGUGGGGAGCGAACAGG
rnacentral:rRNA from 1 species